rnacentral:rRNA from 1 species
UACCCGCAGCACAAGUGGUGGUCAUUAUUAUUGGGCCUAAAGCGUCCGUAGCUGGCUUGUUAGAUGCCUGGGGAAAUCGAUGCGCUCAACGUAUCGAACUCCGGGUAGACCGGCAAGCUUGGGACCGGGAGAGGCGUGAGCUACUCGAGGGGUAGGGGUAAAAUCCUGUAAUCCUUCGGGGAGGACCAGUGGCGAAGGCGUCACGCUAGAACGGCUCCGACAGUGAGGGACGAGGCCCUGGGGCGCAAACCGG